rnacentral:rRNA from 1 species
CCUACGGGCGGCUGCAGUGAGGAAUAUUGGUCAAUGGACGAGAGUCUGAACCAGCCAAGUAGCGUGAAGGAUGACUGCCCUAUGGGUUGUAAACUUCUUUUAUAUGGGAAUAAAACGUUCCACGUGUGGGAUUUUGUAUGUACCAUAUGAAUAAGGAUCGGCUAACUCCGUGCCAGCAGCCGCGGUAAUACGGAGGAUCCGAGCGUUAUCCGGAUUUAUUGGGUUUAAAGGGAGCGUAGGUGGAUUGUUAAGUCAGUUGUGAAAGUUUGCGGCUCAACCGUAAAAUUGCAGUUGAAACUGGCAGUCUUGAGUACAGUAGAGGUGGGCGGAAUUCGUGAUGUAGCGGUGAAAUGCUUAGAUAUCACGAAGAACUCCGAUUGCGAAGGCAGUUCACUGGACUGCAACUGACACUGAGGCUCGAAAGUGUGGGUAUCAAACAGGAUUAGAUACCCCAGUAGUC